rnacentral:rRNA from 1 species
CCUACGGGAGGCAGCAGUGGGGGAUAUUGCACAAUGGGGGGAACCCUGAUGCAGCGACGCCGCGUGGGUGAAGAAGCGCCUCGGCGCGGUAAGCCCUGUCAGCAGGGAAGCAAAUGACGGUACCUGAAGAAGAAGCCCCGGCUAACUACGUGCCAGCAGCCGCGGUCAUACGUAGGGGGGAAGCGUUAUCCGGAUUUACUGGGGUUAAAGGGGGCGCAGACGGCGAUGAAAGCCAGGAGUGAAAGCCCGGGGGCCAACCCCGGGACUGCCCUUGGAACUGCGUGGCUGGAGUGCAGGAGGGGCAGGCGGAAUGCCUGGUGUAGCGGUGAAAUGCGUAGAUAUCAGGAGGAACACCGGUGGCGAAGGCAGCCUACUGGACUGCAACUGACGUUGAGGCCCGAAAGCGUGGGGAGCAAACAGGAUUAGAUACCCUUGUAGUC